CUCAGCCCUUAUGAUCCUCGGGGGAAGUCUCCUCUGCUACUCCUGUCCCCCUCGGGAGUACAACCCCUCACAGAUGGCAUACUCUGCCCCAGGCUCUGCCCCAGGUGGGCCCGGGUUCCAGAGAAAAGACUAUGUGUGAUGGGAUGAUGGAUGGGACAAGGACUAUUUAUGUAACAACAAAAACGUUAUUCUACACCUGUUUCUAAGGGUGUGUCUAAGAAAGGGCUUCAUGAAUCCCAAGGAGACUCCGGGAUGAAGGGAUGUGUUUGUUUCUGCUUUUUUUUACCAUUGUUUUGUUGGAUUUGUCUAUGUGUGUACAGUAUUUGUCUCUAUAAUAUCUAUUCUGAAAGGAAAGCAUAGAAAUUCUGGCUGUGUAAGAAAAACAUUUGAGAAGGAUCAUGUUCUUUUCAUUUGGGUUUAGUGAGAACAAAGGAAAUGAAGAAUAAGAUCAGUAGUUAGUAAAUGUAUUAAUUAUUAAAAAGUUUUAAGCGUUGGAUUAUUGGUGAGCUAUGCAUAUUCAUUGAAACUAUAGCAAGCUCAUUUAAACACAUUCACAAGCCUCAUAUAAUUAUUUACAUAAUGUUUGUACUUUUUUGAAUAUUCCUCUCUAAGAUGUUAGUCAUUGAGUCCAUUAAUCACUAACAUUUAAUUAUUUUCCUAGCUUCAGGCAACUACACUACAUCAAAUGAUAUCUUGUAGAAUAUUCAAUCACUAUCUUCUCAUUGACAUUUCUCUAUGUUAUUGGCUCAUAUAAAUGAGGCAUUGCUUAGGCUUCAGAAACUAAGGAACACUAAAAAGACAUUUGACUGAUGCUUUCACAAAAAGAUAGAGGUGGAAAGGUUUUUAUUUUACUGCAAGAAUGCAAGAAUACAGUAGAGUGUACAGAAUCAGUAUGUUCACAUCGUUUUUUAAGGAACUAUGUUUCUUUUUUAUGUAGGAUUUUUUUUUUAUGUUGGGAAAUGCAUUUGGGAGGGCAUCUGUGUGAUGGUGAUGUUCUAUCAUCAGUGUUAAGGGUGUGACUGUGUGAUGUACUCAUCUGUUUGGACCUGAGCAAGAGGAGCGGCUGCCUUGGCAGCAGCUACCGUAAUUUCCGGACUAUAAGCCGCUACUUUUUUCCCAGGCUUUGAACCUCGCGGCUUAAACAAUGACGCGGCUAAUAUAUGGAUUUUCCCGCUUUCAUAUAUAUACAAAAAUUUAAAAAACACAUUCUGUGACGUGCUCUGUUUUUUGGCGGCAUGAAGCUUUCUUUAGACCAAUGAAAUUGCCGAACGGGUUAAGGUCAAACAACUUUUUUGUUUACUGUUUAGAUUAAAUCGAGCGCGCUCAAACUUCCCAUCAUUCUGAUUACGGUAGUCAUUUUGUCACCCUCAUCAUGGCAAAGACACGGAGAAAUGCAUAUGAUGCAGCUUUCAAGUUGAAGGCGAUUGAUCUGGCUGUUGGAAAAGGAAAUAGAGCUGCUGCACAGGAGCUUGGUCUGGAGCAAUGACUUUCUUGGUAGGCUACUGUUUACUGCAAAUGUUUAAUUUUUUGUUACAAGCCGUGUUUCGUUAAAGCCUAUUUAUUUUUGUUACAAGCCAUGUUUCGUUAAAGCCUAUUUAUUUUUGUUACAAGCCGUGUUUCGUUAAAGCCUGUGUAAAGUUAAUUUGUUUCAAUGUACCGGUAGGCACCUGCGGCUUAUAGACAUGUGCGGCUUAUUUAUGUUCAAAAUAAAUUAAAAAAUUUAAUUCAGUGGGUGCGGCUUAUAUUCAGGUGUGCUCAAUAGUCCGGAAAUUAUGGUAAUUGGGAUCCAAAUAAAAUACUAAAUACUACUAACAUACAGAGUACUGUAUCUAUCUGUACUGAAUGCUGUCACCUGAACUCCAGACAGAUGACAGAUGUAUUAAACAGAGUGUGGAUAGCAGUGCACAGAGGGAAUGGGGAACAGGUUGGGAGCAGACAAACUGAAGGCCUCAGUGUUUUGGGGCAAUGAGGAGUAACGGGGGCAUUGUGCACCUGUGUCCAGCCAGAACAGUGCUAAUGUGUGUGUUAGUCCUGCAGUGUUAACUGCACAUCACCUGCUUUUUAAUAAAGAUAGUUGUUGUUUUAUAAA
rnacentral:lncRNA from 1 species